GGAGAUCCUGCCGCCCCCGCGCACCUCGGCGGCGCUGCAGCAGGUGCUGCUGGCCAGCAGCCCUCGCUCCAGAGCGCACAUUCCCAGGAACCUGGUGCAGAUGCAAGCGAUGCCGCAACCACGCCCGCAUCGACGCCCCCACGAUCAGAGGGCAGCACUGUGUCCGGACUACCAGCAGCCCUCCGAUCUCUACAACCCUGUCUACAACGAGAUCUCCAACAGUUCGGACGAGUACCUGCCUUCCGACCGGGGAGACGACGACGAGCGCGACGGCGGUGACAGCGGCAGCGACAGCGGCAGCGGCAGCUCGGAGGGCG